rnacentral:misc_RNA from 1 species
GGGGAGUACGGACGUCGAGGACGGAGGCGAGGCGCUGGAGCUCGCCGGAGAUGUCGGAGCUGAAGCUGGAGAAGUCAGAGAACUCGCGGGAGAGCUCGAGGAGCUCAACGGCGGCAGCGCCGGAAGAGGCAGAUUUGGCGGCGGGGCCGCCGACGGCGGUGGCGAGCUCGCGGAGGUGGAAGUCGACGACGGAGUCGGUGAGGAUUUCCGAGACUGCAUCGGUAAUUACGCCGGAGGGAGGAGAGGCGGCGGUCUGGUAGAGAUUGGAGCGGAUCGUGCGCAUGGAGCGGCCAUGGGAGCGCUCGAUCCGCGUGGAGGACGGCGACGGCGGGAUCUGGGAGUCGGGGAGGGAGACCAUGGCCAGCGGCGAUCACCAGAGAGGGGAGUGGAGAG